rnacentral:tRNA from 1 species
UCCCAGGUGGUCCAGUGGCUAAGACUCUGCACUCCCAAUGCAGGAGGCCUGGGUUUGAUCCUUUGUCAAGGAG